rnacentral:lncRNA from 1 species
UUCGUUUUAGUCCUUUUGUUGAUUUUAUUUUAGGUUUCACUUUACUUUUUUUUCCAACUUACCAAUUUUAAUUCAAUUUUAUUUUUAAUUGCAUUCUGGUCCCUCAAACAAGUUUCCAGAAUUGCACUUUAGUCCAAAACUUUUUAAAAUUGCAUUUUAGUCCAUUAUUAUUAAUUGCAGUUUAGUCCUCAAUUUUACUUUUUUGCAGAAAGGUCCCUAGGUCACAACAAGUCCAAGGCCGAGCCAUACAAGUCCAGGUGUCACCAUUUCAUUGGAUCUCAAGUACAAGUGGCAGCUUAUAAAUAGUGCACAGUGUCAGAGAAAUCCACAGAGACCCAUUCAAUCAGUGCCAACUCACAAACACGUGAGAAGAUUCUCUCUCUUGGCAGUUAGGA